CCUACGGGUGGCUGCAGUGAGGAAUAUUGGUCAAUGGGCGUAAGCCUGAACCAGCCAAGUCGCGUGAGGGAUGAAGGUUCUAUGGAUCGUAAACCUCUUUUAUAAGGGCAUAAAGUGUGGGACGUGUCCUAUUUUGUAUGAACCUUAUGAAUAAGGUCGGCCAAACCCGUGCCAGCCGCCGCGGUUAUUCGGAGGGUCCGAGCGUUAUCCGGAUUUUUUGGGUUUAAAGGGUGCGUAGGUGGCCGUUUAAGUAAGCGGUGAAAGUCUGUGGCUCAACCAUAGAAUUGCCGGUGAAACUGGGGGGCUUGAGUAUGUUUGAGGCAGGCGGAAUGCGUGGUGUAGCGGUGAAAUGCUUAGAUAUCACGCAGAACCCCGAUUGCGAAGGCAGCCUGCCAAGCCAUGACUGACGCUGAUGCACGAAAGCGUGGGGAUCAAACAGGAUUAGAUACCCCAGUAGUC
rnacentral:rRNA from 1 species